AAUGGUGAGUAGUCGCGGUUCCUUUUUUGGAGCUGAGGAAAGUCCAGGCUCGCACAGUGCUGAGAUGCCUGUAGUGUUCGUGCCACUUGCAAAGGUGGGCAGUCAAUAGUUAUAGGCUGACGGCGGUGAAAUCAUGCUAAGUCCAUAGGGAUAUGCUGAGAAUAGCCUGAAAGUGCCACAGUGACGAAGCUUUUCUGGAAACGGAAAAGGUGGAACGGGGUAAACCCCACGAGCGAGCAACCCAAAUUUAGGUAGGGGCAUCAUCCUUAAGGGAAAUCAACCUGCGGAUGGAUUGGUCACAAAGGCCGAUAGAUAGAUGACUACUACUUCCUGUACAAGGCUUGCAGCCGAUUGUAGUACGGAAGCACAAAACCUGGCUUACAGCC
rnacentral:RNase_P_RNA from 1 species